rnacentral:lncRNA from 1 species
GUUACAACCUCACAAACCUUUGUCUCAGGCUAUAAUUCCAGGGGAACCUAAGCUAAGACAGACAUUGUGGAGUUACAGAGUACCUUGCUCCUGAUAAAGUAUCUACCCAUCCAAUUUGAUGUCUUUCUGUCCUGUUUCCUUGGCUGAGAAGGGAUCAAAGAAAAAAGAUAAUGGAGAAUCUGGAGGUGAUUUUCUGUAAGUAGUAAUUGAAUUCCUCUACAUCUCCUUGUUUUAUUACUGUAGGAAAUGGAUACAUCUCAAAAUCUUACCACCAACUGCUUCCAAGUGGCUGGAAUGGAGAAAAAAAAAUGGACAACAAUGUCAUCAGGGACACAUUUCUUAAUAUGCGAUUUGUUAAAUAUGGGAGUUCUCUCCCUCAUGCUCUAGGAAACUGAUACAUAAAGAGUCUUCUUGCUGAAGCAGAAUGGAAGGCAAUUUCAUGGUAAGUUAAACAGAUAUACUGAGUAACACAUAGUUUUGCUUACUGGUAGGAAUAGAAGGAAAAUAAGAACAUGGGCCAAUGGGGAGAAACACUGAGCUAGAAGUCAGGAAAUUGCUUUGAUCAGCUCUGUUACCAAGACAAGUAACAAGUGCCAGCUCCACUCAGCAAGCAGGCACCUUUCUUUUGGUUUCAGCUGAGGUUCCAGGAGCUACAGCUGGAUAGGGCCAGAGAGCAUGAAACUAUAAGAAAGGGUCUUAUAUAAAAUUGAGCCCUGAAAACAGAAAUAGUCUGAAGGCUGCUGUGCAGAGAGGCAAAGAGAGAGUUGCCACCAGGUGACCAUGGGAAGGGAUCAGGGGAAGAGAAGCAGAGUCCCAAGGCAAAACCAGAGCAAAUCUCUUAACAAGCCCAUAUACAUAGCAGGUAUGUUUUAUGUUGUUCCACUGCCACAAUGCUGGAUAGGAGAUUAUCUCUUAAGGACACCAAGUCAGUUCAAAUAUCCUCCAUGUCUUGUUACUCAAAGUGAAAUUCAUGAACUAAUGCAUUGGAUAACUAAUGCAGAAUCUCAGCUCCAUUUCAGAUCUACUGAAUCUACUGCCUUUUUUGUUUAUUUCUUUGUUUGUUUGGUUUUGGCACUGGAGAUUGAACCCAGGGGUGCUUUGCCACUUAACUACACCCCUAUCCCUUUUUAACUUUUAUUUUAAGAUAGAGUCUUGCUAAGUUGCUUAGGACCUCACCAAUUUGUGGAGGUUGGGAUCAAACUUGCCAUUCUCCUGCCCUCAAUCUGCCAAUUUGCUGGGAUUUUAGGUGUACACCACCACGCAUGAUUUAGCCUGCAUUUUUAACAAGGUCACUGGUUGAUUCUCAUGCCCCUUAAAGUUCGAGAAGUAUUGUCAGUGAAUCAAUUGUGUUUGCAUGUUUCCGGGUUGUCUAUGAGUACCUUGUUAAGGAUUUCCAACAGGGAGGAAGAGGCAUAAUUCCAACAGGCAUCUUAGGAAGUAUGCCUGGACACUUGGGUUGUCACGGUGAGUCACACUGAUAUUUAGUGGCCAGGUGCCAGGGAUGCUUAAACAUCCUGCAAAUUAUGGGAUGGUUCUACAGAGUAAAAAAAAAAUUGUCCUCUCCAAAUGAGAGUAAUUUUCCUGGUAAGAAACAUGUUGGCAAUUUCUUCAUCUGUAAAAUAAGCAUUUGGGUUUAUUUGGAUUUCAAUGUUUCUCCCGUCUCUAAGACUCUUUUGUUCUACCACUGUUUUCACAUUGAUUUAGAAAAUUCUCAUUGCUCCCUCUAAUUAUGGCUUCUAUGUUCCUAAGUCAUUUUUAUUUAGACAAUCCAAUGGAACUAGUCAUAGGGAUUAACCAUAAAUUCAUAUCAUUCCCUCAUAAAUAUAUCUUGCUCAUUUAGGUUAAGACUCAGAGAACUCUUUUAGUCAAUUAUGAUGCUGAUAAAACAAAGCAAUCUGGAAAUGCUUAUAAUCAGCAAAGAUUUUUGCUAGGUAGAAAUUUAAAGACCUUCCUUGUCUGGUCAGAUUUUAGUUGAAGUGACUGUCUCCCCACCUCACCUCUAGCUGAAGGUCUUGCUGGGUUGGCAUGGGAAAAGGGACAUUGAUGAGAUGCCCUUCUCUAGAAACUUCUUCCAUUGUCUGUAAAGAAAGAACAACUGGGGCUGGGAUACAGCACUCACCUAGCACAGGCGGGACCCGGGUUUGAUCCUCAGCACAUAUAAAAAUAAAGGCACUGUGUUGUGUCCAUCUACACCUAAAAAAUAAAUAUUUUUUUUGAAAGAAAGAACAACUGAUAGCAGACACAUGGAGGGUCAUAAACAGGGUCUGGUGAACCUGAUGGCAUUGAGAACCCAAAGGACAAUGAGAGAAUCUGAGUAAAGAGUUGGGCUCCUGACAUUGUGGUAUCCCUAUUUAAAAAUGAAAAUAUUUGUGCUGUCAGGACAAGGAAAAUAUCUAUUGAAAAUGUGAAUCUUUGAAUGAAAGAUAAUGCCCAUCUAUAGAACAGGAUUUUCCACUGUGACACACACACCAGCUACAAAAGUUAAAAAAUGAAUUCACAGAAAAUAAGUGCCUCCAAUCACCACAGUAGACAGCAAUAUCCUUUUUAAGACAGUUCAAAAUAAUAAAAACUUGCCUCAAUGUUUUAUUUUAACAUAAAAUGUAUAUAUGUAUAUGAUUUGUUUGCCCUUAUUAAAAGCUGUUUUUUGGAAUCUGCUGAUUUCAGGACUUCCUUAACCACUUUUUUGUAUUAAUGAUAAGUAGAAGGCAUUUGCUGUAACAUCCACUUUCAGUUUCAUUAAAGUAGAAGUAGAACAAGAAUUUAAGAUAGGAGAUCAUGGUGCAGAGUUCUAAUUUUUUAAAACUAACUCUUGCCAAAGGAUUAAAUUGUUUUCAUAGAAACAAUAACCUUUUUACUUUUGACAUUCAUAUUUAUGUUUGUAUUAAAUUAAUUUAAAUUACAUAAUUACAAUAACAAGUUGGACUGGCAUGAACAAGUUUAGUAAUCAGCACAUUAACUCUUAAGUUUGCCAUUCAGCAUGUAGGGACAGUAGGGCAGGGUUCAUAUAUGAACAGUCUUCUGGCCAUGAGUAUUUGUCAAGUCAUGAGUUUGUGUGCCUUUUACAAAGACAGUGGAGAGCACCUGUUAACCUGCAAAAUCACUGAUGUGGAGGUAUCUAAACAGCUGUCUAUUAUGGACUGAAUUAUAUGCUCCCUCAAAAUUCACGUGUUGUGAGAAGUGUACUUUCUCAAUUUUGAAGGUGCAAGAUUUUGUGAUGCAGAUUUCCCAGAAGAAUCAGUGUUCUGAUAGACUAUUUCAAACAACAUGCAUGUACAGAAGAUAAAGUUUUGUCAGACAAAUUUGUAAGUGGAAAAUAUACUUUUCAGACAAUCAUUUUACUAGAAAUUUAGUACUUACUAUGUGCCAAGAAGUGUACUUACCUGAGGACAUCAGAAUAAUCUGUCCUCAUUUUGAGGAGAAUCCUUCAUUUCUUUUUGUUUUGUUUUCAUACUGAGGAUUAAAUCCAGGAGUACUUUACCACUGAGCUUUAUUCCCACCCCUUUUUAUUUUUAAUUUUGAGAUGGGGCCUCACUAAGUUCAUAAAGGCCUCCCUAAAUUGCUGAGGCUGGCCCUGAACUUGCAAUUGUCCUCCGUUAGCUUCCAGAGUAGCUGAAUUAUGUGUGCACCACUGUGCCUGGUAGAAUCCUUCAUUUCUAAGACAUAUUUUCUCUUUA